rnacentral:rRNA from 1 species
UACGGAGGGUGCAAGCGUUGUUCGGAAUUAUUGGGCGUAAAGCGUGUCUAGGUGGAUUGGUAAGUCAGGUGUGAAAGACCCGAGCUUAACUCGGGAAUUGCGCUUGAAACUGCUGGUCUUGAGUAACAAAGAGGUGAGUGGAAUUCCUGGUGUAGCAGUGAAAUGCGUAGAGAUCAGGAAGAACAUCGGAGGCGAAGGCGGCUCACUGGUUGUUUACUGACACUGAAGCACGAAAGCGUGGGGAUCAAACAGGAUUAGAAACCCUUGUAGU